AAGUGUUACAGCUCUUUUAGAUUUUGUCUAGCAGGCUUCUGGCACUAGUUAGAAGACUCCCCA
rnacentral:snRNA from 1 species